GGAACUUGUGCUGCACUCCUGGUGACUUGGGUCAGCAGCUCCUCGCACAGCAGCACGGAGGGCCUGCCAUUUACAGACCUGCACUCACGCUGCUGAAUCACAAAAAGCUUGCAGAAAAGGAGAAUUAAUGAGCUGCGCAGUGAGGAACAACCUUCCCACCCACGCUGUGCCCUCCCUCCCCCUUGGCUGAGGGCAUGGCAGGACAUGGGGGAGAGCACGCAGGAUGUAAGAAAACCGUACGUAGGGAUGAGUGCUGUGGGCAGUUAUUGAACGGCUUUGUAGGGGAUGUGGACAGUGGGAUGGAGGGCAUCCUCAGCAGGCUGCAGAUGACACCAAGAUGGCCUGUGCAGUUUUGCUGCCCCGGGUCUCAGGAGCGCUCUGUUCCGGUGCUUCCUUCUCUUCUGGCUGUGGUGUCUCUGGUAGCUCUGAAUGGGGCCCGUCCAUCCCUUUGAGCUUCUUGUUCUGUCCUCGUCUUCAGAGUUCUGUUUUACACAGUCCAUAGGGGAGCUGCCUCUGCCCAUGCGGUGCGGAUCCUCAGGCUGCCUGUAGGAGCACACUGGGGUGCAGAGCGGGACGGGUGCCUUCCUCAUGCAUCAGUCGGUGCCUUGGCCAGGUGCAGACAUGGGCUGGUUGGAGGAGGCUGCACUGCUCUGGUUCUGUGCGUGUCCAGAUGUCUGUCUGCAAGGCAGAGGGGGUGCACAAGAGGAGCAGCCUCCUGCCCUGCUUCCCUGUGCUGCUCUCCCCUGCACAGCACUGCUCACCGUGUUGCAGGUCUGCCAGCCAUUGCCAUGGCCAUGUGGGGCUGCCUGUGUCCCCAAGGCUGUGUGGAAAGGGCCACUGCAAUCAGCAGGUCUGAUGCCAGCACCUGCAGUGGGGCCAGGGCUCAGGAAAGCAGCACUGAACAUUGGGGUAGGGGAAGGGGUCCUUGGGGAGCUUCCAGGGUCUCUAGAAUGGGUACUGUCUGGGGCUGACUUAUCUGUCCUGUGUGCCAUGGAGACCAGAUGGAGAGCUGCAGACAGGCGUGUGUCCUGCUCUGGUUCCAUCUUGGUAUGUAUGCCCAUCUGCAAGGCAGAGGGGAGGGAAGAAAGGAGCAGCCUCCUGCCCUGCUUCCCUGUGCUGCUCUCUCCUGCACAGCCCUGCUCACCGGGUUGCUGGUCUGCCAGCCAUUUCCAUGGCCAUGUGGGGCUGCCUGUGUCCCCAAGGCUGUGUGGAAAGGGCCACUGCAAUCAGCAGGUCUGAUGCCAGCUCCUGCAGUGGGGCUAGGGCUCUGCAAAAUUGUAUCAAAUGUUGAGGUGAGGGCAUGGGGACUGUGGGGUGCUGCCAGGGCCCAUAGGAGGGCACUUUUUGUGGCUGACUUAUCUCUCCUGUAAGCAUGGAGACCAGAUGGAGAGCUGCGGACAGGCGUGUGUCCUGCUCUGGUUCCAUCUUGGUGCCGAUGCCCACCUGCAAGGCAGAGAGGGGGGAAGAAAGGAGCAGCCUCCUGCCCUGCUUCCCUGUGCUGCCCUCCCCUGCACAGCACUGCUCACCGUUGUUGGUCUGCCUGCCGUUGCCAUGGCCAUGAGUGGAAAGGGUCACUGCAAUCAGCAGGUCUGAUGCCAGCUCCUGCAGUGGGGCCACGAAGCAGCAGCAAACAUUGGGGUAGGGCAGGGGGUCCUUGGGGAGCUUCCUGGGUCCUGUCGGAGUGAGGUGGGGUGUGGGUUGGGAGUGACUUAUCUGUCCCGUGGGUGAGCACAGGAGCUCUCGCCGUGCUGCUGUGUCCCUGUCCGUGUGUGUGGCUGUGAGGCAGAGGAGGAGCAGCCGCCAUCCAUGGCCAUGGGCUGCUGCUGCCCCCCACAGCCCUCGCUCACUCGGGUACUCAGCAGCCCCCUCUGGCUGGCACUGCCCUUCUGGUCAGCAUUCCAGGCUGCUGUGACACCAAGCUGGCUCUGGAACGCAGCCCCCAGCAGUGCUGUGCUCUUGUGACAUGGCUGUGCCAGCGGCAGGGUGGUUCCUGGAGCUGGUGGCUGCCCUGGUGACGUGGCUGUGACAUAGCAGGGCUGGUGCUGCCUGGGAUGGGGCUGCUGCCUUCUGCCGUGC
rnacentral:lncRNA from 1 species